ensembl:lncRNA
GUGGAUGUAUUUCAAGGCCUACCUUCAAACUCAGUGCCUCUUUGCUUGACAUCAUGGGAAAAUCAAACGAAAAUCAUCCAAGACCUCAGAAAAAUGGGGCCCUGAUGUGCUUUAGGACCAUGCGGACACCUCAGAGUGGUCGGCAGGUUGUUUUCCCUGAUUUCAGUCGUUUGGAUUUAGGACGCCAUGGACACCACAGGACCAGCAUGGGAGAGAAAAACAGAGGCAGGUGCUGUCUGUGUUCUGCUUUUUCUCUCAGUUUUAAAAACAGCCAGAGCAGAAACUAGCUACUCUUUAGUUGACUGAUCUAGCUGGCAAGCAGGAUCAGGUGGUGACAGGAGUCUCAUCAGGGUCAGGCAACCAGGGAAGACCAGUCUGUGACAGCGCAGAGGAGAACUUUUGCAGAUACAACACGUUAUCCUCUCUGUGCAGCAAACACUGGACAAGCAAGAAGCUUCAAAGAAUCAAAAUAUUUUAAGGCAGUCUGCCAAACCUCUAAAGUUGAUUACCAAACUGUGUCAAGGGUUGAUAUAGUAUUUUCCCGAUGACACAAAAUAUGUAAAACAAAAAAGUAAGGAAGAUCUGGGAGAUGUUAUUGAUGAUGAAUGGAUACAGAUAUGUUAAAUGCCCAGUCAUGUUUAUGUAAUCUCACACACAAAUCACUGCAUUUUAAGACAAUCCGUAGAAUGUACAAUAUGCCAAUGAAACUUAAUUUCAGGCUCUCAGAAAUGUAAUUCUUCUGCUGGAGGUGUAAAACACAAAAGGGGACAUAUUUCUAUAUGGUAUGGCUGGCUGAAUUCUGGCAAAGAGUAUGUGCUUUUAUCUCAAAAUGUCUACAUCUCCCUUUUCCCUGUUUUUGUUUGGUUGGAAAUGUUGAUACUGGAGACUGUUAUCAGAUGAAACUGUGUAACCUAGCAUUUAUAAUGGCUAAAAAAUGCAUUGCCAUUUAUUGGAAGAUUGGUUAUCCUCCCACAAUGGAUAGAAGAAAUAUAAAGUAAUGUAUCACUGGCUGCCUGAUAUGGAAUACUGUACAACAAAAGGAGUCUGUAUUGAAAACAUGCCCAGGUCAGGGGAGAUAACUUUAGGCAAUCCCUAGCUGCUGGGCUGCUCAGUCCUGGCCCUAUGGGUCUGCUGUCCUGUUGGUUGUCACUCUGGCCUUGGCCUAACACACCUGAAACCAAUAAUGAAAGUUUCACUAAGAUCCAAAAGCUGAGUGGGGUGUGUUGGGUUGGGGUGCUGCAGUGCCGUGGACCCCUAGGGGCAGGACGAGGUGACCCAGCUAUAUUGUGUGCAAGUAAAAAGUGCUCUACAGUACUAUUAGGCCUAUGAUUUGAAUUAUAUGAAGGGUGUACUGUCUCUG